rnacentral:lncRNA from 1 species
UUCGCGAUCUUAUUUCUAAUUUCAAAGAUGCCCACGAUGGUUUUGAAACUAAUAAGAUAGGUGUAACCACCAUCUGAUCUUGAAAAAUUUCGAUCAAAAAUUCCAUCACAUCAUGCCAAAAUCGGCCACAUAACCUAUCUAAAAUAGUUUUCCAACCUUCGUCCACAAAAAGACAUCUAAGGGACCCUCUAAGGUACGCA